rnacentral:rRNA from 1 species
GACGAACGCUGGCGGCGUUCUUAACACAUGCAAGUCGAACGGUGAAGCGAGUGCUUGCACUCGUGGAUCAGUGGCGAACGGGUGAGUAACACGUGAGUAACCUGCCCAUCACUCUGGGAUAAGCACUGGAAACGGUGUCUAAUACUGGAUACGACCAACCCUUGCAUGGGGUGUUGGUGGAAAGAUUUAUCGGUGAUGGAUGGACUCGCGGCCUAUCAGCUUGUUGGCGGGGUAAUGGCCCACCAAGGCGACGACGGGUAGCCGGCCUGAGAGGGUGACCGGCCACACUGGGACUGAGACACGGCCCAGACUCCUACGGGAGGCAGCAGUGGGGAAUAUUGCACAAUGGGCGAAAGCCUGAUGCAGCGACGCCGCGUGAGGGAUGACGGCCUUCGGGUUGUAAACCUCUUUCAGCAGGGAAGAAGCGAAAGUGACGGUACCUGCAGAAGAAGCACCGGCUAACUACGUG